AGUGAACGCUGGCGGUAGGCCUAACACAUGCAAGUCGAACGGCAGCACAGUAAGAGCUUGCUCUUACGGGUGGCGAGUGGCGGACGGGUGAGGAAUACAUCGGAAUCUACUUUUUCGUGGGGGAUAACGUAGGGAAACUUACGCUAAUACCGCAUACGACCUACGGGUGAAAGCAGGGGAUCUUCGGACCUUGCGCGAUUGAAUGAGCCGAUGUCGGAUUAGCUAGUUGGCGGGGUAAAGGCCCACCAAGGCGACGAUCCGUAGCUGGUCUGAGAGGAUGAACAGCCACACUGGAACUGAGACACGGUCCAGACUCCUACGGGAAGCAGCAGUGGGGAAUAUUGGACAAUGGGCGCAAGCCUGAUCCAGCCAUACCGCGUGGGUGAAGAAGGCCUUCGGGUUGUAAAGCCCUUUUGUUGGGAAAGAAAAGCAGCAGGUUAAUACCCCGCUGUUCUGACGGUACCCAAAGAAUAAGCACCGGCUAACUUCGUG
rnacentral:rRNA from 1 species